rnacentral:rRNA from 1 species
CUACGGGUUGCACCAGUGGGGAAUAUUGGGCAAUGGGCGCAAGCCUGACCCAGCAACGCCGCGUGAGGGAAGAAGGUUUUCGGAUUGUAAACCUCUGUCCUUGGGGACGAAGAAGUGACGGUACCCAAGGAGGAAGCUCCGGCUAACUACGUGCCAGCAGCCGCGGUAAUACGUAGGGAGCAAGCGUUGUCCGGAAUUACUGGGCGUAAAGGGUGCGUAGGCGGCAUAUUAAGUCAGGUGUGAAAUACUCGGGCUCAACCCGGGGGCUGCAUUUGAAACUGAUAUGCUUGAGUGUGAGAGAGGAAAGUGGAAUUCCUAGUGUAGCGGUGGAAUGCGUAGAUAUUAGGAGGAACACCAGUGGCGAAGGCGACUUUCUGGCUCAUAACUGACGCUGAGGCACGAAAGCGUGGGGAGCAAACAGGAUUAGAUACCCCCGUAGUC